GCCACAUGGCCCUUUUGGAUGUUGGAAUGAUAGAGUCCAAUGGGGAUUGAACUCUACCCAAGGUUUGGCGCAUAAUAUGAUAGACGCUCACUUAUUUUGGCAUGGAUGAUUUUAUAGAGUCCUUGUCUAAUGGGUUUGAGACUUGUGUGGCAGCUUUUCAAACCCUCCAUCAGCCUAUCAUAAGUUUUAAGGCAUUUGAUGGAAUGAUAAGGCAUGGAAGAAGGGAGAAGAUAGACGCACAUGUGUGAAGACUUCCCAAAGAGGUGCUUGAUGUUUUUCUAUUUUAAUGCAGAAAUGAGAGGCUUCUUAAGGGGUUUCUCUUAGUGAUUUAAAUUAGAAACAACCCUCCAAUCAUGUGGCAAAAUAUUGAAAUUUUUUAAUUUAAGUUGGGAUGCCAAAAGGUUUCUUCCAUGGGCAUGCAUGUGAGAAGGCUGUGAAACAGUAUUUCAUUCCUAAUAGUUCUUAUCAUGUAAGACUCUUGGUUUUGAUAAACCUUUUCAUGUGGUGCCUACAAGUCAUCACGAGAUGCUUUUCAUACCCCAUUUACAACUAUAAAUAGGGGGUGGCACAGAGAGGAGAGAUCAUUCAAUUCUUACAUGCUCUCUUAUCUUGCUUAAGACAAGAAUCCUCUCCUUCUCUCUCUUACACCCCUAGUUCUCUUAGGAUAAGCCUAUCCAGCCUAUUCUCAGCCUAAAUAGGCUUAGGAUAAGGCUCUAGAGGGUCCUAAGAGGUCUAACCAAAUUACCAAAAAGUCAAGAAGUGGUCCA
rnacentral:lncRNA from 1 species